UAUAAAGAAGUAUGAUGAUUCUAUUAGAUGUGUGAAUGGAGAGACAGAGAAAUCUUCUCUCCAUUGUGAACUCACAAUAUUUAUUUGGCAAUAUUAUUCUGACUCUUUUGCU